UGGUAAUUAAUAAAUGGUCUUCUUUCCCUCUCUAUCGUAUCUUUAUGGCCUAGAUCAUAUAUUUGACAAUUUAGCAAGAUAAUGGAAUGUUUAGGCUUAAAUUUUUUGGAUUCUAUUGAAAAAAAAAUUUGAAUGUAGAAUAUUUGUAUUUUGAUUAGCAUUUUUUCCACUUUUCAAUUGCAUGUGAAAUGAGAUUAUCUUAUAAAUGAGACCCUGUGACUCUUACUCAUCUUAUAAUUUUUCCUUACUAUGUGCCAAAUAGUGUGUCUAAUAAUCUUUUUUGGUGAUUGUGAUUAUAUUGACUCGAUGCUAGAUUAUUAAUUGCUCAGUCAAAGGGAGGAAAAAGCUUCAGUGAAAAAAUGAAUUGAAUUUGUAGUAAACAUGGAAAAUGUGUAAUUAACUUAUUAGCACUAGGCAAAAGAUAGGCAGAAUUUUUUAUUUAUAACAUAUGUAAAUAAAAUGCAUAACCUUUUCUUGAUUUUCCUAUAGCUUUGAAUUAAUGAUUCAAGCUUUUCUGUGAAGCAAAAUUGUGUUGGGUGGUUCCUCCGUGCAUCUACAUUACUAUUUAUUGGGACCUUUUGCUCUUUUGGUUGAGGGAACGAUGCAAAGGUUUCAUGAGAUUGUAGAGUUUUGACCUUUUUUUUGGGUGGUCUAGUUGGAGAGAAAUAGCAGCAUCUGUGAAGGUAAAAAGUAGGGAGGGGGUGGAUUUUUUUUUUAUGGAAUAUGAUUAGAUUUUAGGCAUCCUUGUAGGUGUCACAUAUUGAGGAUUUGAAAGAUUGUCCUUCUUGCUGAAUGGGAAUGGGAUACAGCAGUUUUUAAGGUUAUUUUUCUGUUUUCUUUCUAUAAAAAUAAGUUAGAACUGUCUAAGAUGCAACAGCAAGGUGUUGUUUGCGAAGACAUAAUGCCAUUACCAUGUAGUAUCAAAACACCUUAGGCAUUACCAAUGCGGGAUUACCACAGUGGUUGUGGCCCUCCCCUUCCCCCCUGCUUGGCACCCAGGAUCGAAACCUAAGGGUUUCUUUCCUCCCCAUGUAACCAAAAAAAAAAAAAACACACCUUAGGCAUUUAAAGCCCUAUAGCAAUAAUGCUAUAAAUUUUCGGAGUGAGAAGGGUAAGAAUUAGCUAAAGGCUCUGUUUCGUUAGAUUUGUGUUUGCUUGAAUGGUUGAAAUUAGUUGAUUUGGAUAAAGUUUGUUGGUUUACCAUCAUUCCCAAACACUUAGGCUAUUUUGAUAUGGGCAGACAAUUAUUUCAUAUUCUAAACACCUUCUCCUCCAUUAGAGCCCAACAUGUGCAGUUCAACUUAAUAUUGUGACGUUGUAUUUUCAGGAAUCAAACUUAGGAUCCCCUAUAUUGACUAAUUAGUUCUUAAAAUUACAAUAAACCCAACUUCUUCUGACAAAAUUGCAAUUAAUCAUUACGUUGACUUUAGGAUACGUGUGUCGAUUGAUACGGAUAUCCAAAAGUCAAAUGGAUACGGAUUUGAAUUAUCGGACACAUAUCCAAGAAGUAUCGAGGGAGUAUUUGAGUAUCCAAUACAGACGUGUGGAUUUUUGGAGUAUCGGAGAAACGAAGGUGAUCUCCAAAAGGUAAAUAUGGAAGUUGGGUGGCUCCAGCGAAGAUUGGAUGAGAUCCUUAAGGCAAACUGGAGAAAGGAAAAUACACUACCAAUGAGAGAAGUUGUGGAACAGGAGUUUAGGUGUUUUAGAAAUUCCAUUGUGAGUAAUGCAUACUAGUGAUCUCUCUCUCUCAGGUUACCUAUAGCCCAACAUAACUGAUGCAGGACGCAUAGGACCUAAAUUUAUUAGUUUCCUAAUAUAUUUGUUAGUUUCCUAGAUUCUCUAGUUUUCCAAAUUCUAGUAGGAUUUCUACUUUUCCAGAUUUCCAGAUUUCUAGUUUUAAGUUUCCUAUUCUAUUUGGGUUAGGAUUUCUGUUUAAGCAAAGGAUUUUUAUCCUAUUAUGUCUAGGUUUUAGUUUACUAUAAAUACCCCAAUGUAGUUCUUUAAAAUUCAGAUUUGGAUGAGUAAACCUUCUCUUAAAACUAUAUGAUUUCUGUUCUUCCUUCUCGGUUCUCUGAUUUCGGUCAUUUCUUUCAUCCCUUCGAUCUAUAUUUUCGUCUCCUCAACCUCCUAUAUUCUUCUAUGUUAUAUUGUUUAAGUGUUUACUCUAAACCUACGGGUUGUUCUACAUCAAUUGGUAAUCAGAGCCUUCCUCACUUUCAUUUGCGUUUGAUCUCUGCCAUGGCACCCCAAACCGUGGCCAGCCUUGCGGAACAAUAUCAUGCGUUCCAAGACAAAGUUUCUGCCGAUAUUGCGGGCAUGGAAACCCAACUCUCAAACCUCAGCAGUGACCUCAAAGAAGAGUUGGUGCAGGCUCACAAACAUCGUGCAACAACAGACCUUGCCAUCAACAAACUCCAAGACUCCGUUCAGAUGCUUAUCAAUCACUUUCGGUUUGGAACGACUGAGCCUUCUUCUACCUCAGCGGUGCUCUCGAGUUCAUCUAUGCCGCCGCCAGAAGGUGGCCUUCUUCCCAAUCCACCGAUUGGUUCUCCUCUAGUUGACGAUAACAUUCCCGUCCCUACCCCGCCACCCCGACCACACAAGAACAACUUCAUGCACCGACAUUUUGAUUUUGAGAUAGCUUGACAUGCCACGCUAGGUGUUUUUCCUGCACCAAGGCACUCUGGCGACGACUUAUGAACACCAUGGAUUGAGGGUCUAUCACACCCACACAUGCACUUGCAUUCGUCGGCCAAUCAUGUUCGUCAUGGGUCUAGGCAGAGCUCUCUAUUUGCCAUUCUUACAAGAACUAAUGUUCCAGGCUUGCGGAACGGCUGGUUUCAAGGUGGCAAAUAUGAUGCCGAUUUUGAAGAACUAAAGAACGCCACACGCCUCUUCACACUUCCUUGGGAUUUUGAUUUUGUCGUUGUUUACUCGUCGGAGUCCGAGUUCUUUUCGGCGGAGGAGAAUGAUGCAGGACGCAUAGGACCUAAAUUCAUUAGUUUCCUAGAUUCUCUAGUUUUCCAAAUUCUAGUAGGAUUUCUAUUUUUCCACAUUUCUAGUUUUAAGUUUCCUAUUUUAUUUGGGUUAGGAUUUCUGUUUAAGCAAGGGAUUUUUAUCCUAUUAUGUCUAGGUUUUAGUUUGCUAUAAAUAUCCCCAUGUAGUUCUUUAAAAUUCAGAUUUGGAUAUUGAGUAAACCUUCUCUUAAAACUAUGUGAUUUCUGUUCUUCCUUCUCGGUUCUCUGAUUUUGGUCCUUUCUUUCGUCCCUUCGAUCUAUAUUUUCAUUUCCUCUCUCUCUCACAUAUUCUUCUAUGUUCUAUUGUUUGAGUGCUUAAUCUAACACCUACGGGCUGUACUACAUCAAUAACCUUUCAAAAGAACCCUUGAGACGUUAAGUCUGCCAGGAUAAUACCUGGAUUAUCCCACAAGCUGAUGCAGAAUGAUUAGGGUUAUUCUAAUUUUUUUUCCCCUUUUUCUUAGUUUCUUGUUUCUAGUAAGAUGAACUUUACUUUCCUGUUAUGACAGCAGUGUCUGUCACUUUUGGUCAGAGGCUGGAAUUUUUUAUUAAUUCUUUGUAAUCGUAUGAGUGCUCAAUAAAAAUAGGAAAAAACAAUAAACAAAAAAAAAAAAAA